rnacentral:rRNA from 1 species
GAUGAACGCUGGCGGCGUGCCUAACACAUGCAAGUCGAGCGGACGGACGAGGAUCUUGCGUGUCUGAUGUUAGCGGCGGACGGGUGAGUAACAUGUGUAUAACCUACUUAUAUGUCUGGUAUAAUUUCGGGAAACCGGAUCUAAUACCGGAUAAUAUUUUGAACCGUAUGGUUCAUAAGUGAAAGACGGUUUUGCUGUCACUUAUAGAUGCAUCCGGGCUGCAUUAGGUAGUUGGUAAGGUAACGGCUUACCAAGGGGACGAUGCGUAGACGAAGGGAGAGGGUGAUCGGCCACCCGGGAACGGGGACACGGUCAAGACUCCUACGGGAGGCCGCAGUAGGGUAUCUUCCGCAAUGGGCGAAAGCAUGACAGAACGAGGGCGCGUGAGUGAUGAAGGUCUUCGGAUCGUAAAGCUCUGUUACUAGGGAAGAACAGAUGUGUACGUAAAUGUACAGAUCUUGACGGUACCUAAUAAAAAAGCACCGGCUAACUACGUG